rnacentral:rRNA from 1 species
AUACGGAGGAUCCGAGCGUUAUCCGGAUUUAUUGGGUUUAAAGGGAGCGUAGGCGGGAGCUUAAGUCAGCGGUUAAAUGGUGCGGCUCAACCGUGCCCUGCCGUUGAAACUGGGUUUCUUGAGAGUGCAAGAGGCGGAUGGAAUUCAUGGUGUAGCGGGGAAAUGCUUAGAUAUCAUGAAGAACUCCGAUUGCGAAGGCAGUCCGCUGGGGCACGUCUGACGCUGAUGCUCGAAGGUGCGGGAAUCAAACAGGAUUAGAUACCCUGGUAGUCCGCACGGUAAACGAUGAUUACCCGCUGUCGGCGGUAGACAGUCGGCGGCCAAGCGAAAGCGAUAAGUAAUCCACCUGGGGAGCACGCCGGCAACGGUGAAACUCAAAGGAAUUGACGGGG